rnacentral:rRNA from 1 species
GCGAAAACUUUACAAUGCUGGCAACAGCGAUAAGGGAACCUCGAGUGCCAGGUUACAAAUCUGGCUGUCGAGAUGCCUAAAAAGCAUUUCAUAGCAAGGGCCGGGCAAGACCGGUGCCAGCCGCCGCGGUAACACCGGCGGCUCGAGUGGUAACCGUUAUUAUUGGGUCCAAAGGGUCUGUAGCCGGCCGGAUAAGUCUCUUGAGAAAUCUGGCAGCUUAACUGUCAGGCUUUCAGGAGGUACUGGCUGGCUCGAGGCCGGGAGAGGUGGGAGGGACUUCCGGGGUAGGUGUGAAAUCUUGUAAUCCUUGAGGGACCACCAGUUGCGGAGGCGUCUCACCAGAACGGACCUGACGGCAAGGGACGAAAGCUAGGGGCACGAACC